GCAGUGCGCUAGGCGAUCCCCUGCACUCUAGUUUUCUAGGCAGUGUAGGAGGAAAGUCCGGGCAGCGUAGAACAAGACAGUCGCUAACGGCGACCGGGGGCAACCCUAGGGAAAGUGCCACAGAAACGAUACCGCCAACCUUGUUGGUAAGGGUGAAAGGAGUGGGGUAAGGGCCCACAGCUAUGUGUAGCGAUGCAUAUAGGAGGUAAACCCUGUUUGCUGCAAGGAGGUGCUGGCGAGUUGGCUGUUCGUCAGCCGGCACCGAUAUCCGCUCGAUCUGCAUGGCAACAUGCAGGCUAGAUAGAUGAUCGCCCAUGACAGAACCCGGCUUAUAGGCGCAUUGCACUU
rnacentral:RNase_P_RNA from 1 species